rnacentral:other from 1 species
GUCACUCUGGGGUGUUCGUAAGAACACCUUAUAUACUCUCUCUUCGUAAAGUUUAUGGGAGUUUGAGAUUUGCUCCCCGUCGUGGCGGGGGCAUGAGAACACCCACUUUGGAUAUUGGGGGCAUUAGUAUCCUAAGGUUGAACGCCAUCCCGGAGACAUU